UAUGGCCAUAUCACAUUGAAAUACCGGUUCUUGUAUGACCAUCUGAUCACCAAAGUUAAGCAAUGUCAAGCCUGGUCAGUAUUAAAUGGGUGACCACUUGGAAAUACCAGAUGCUGUAAG